AAUGAACGCUGGCGGCGUGCUUAACACAUGCAAGUCGAACGAGAAAGCCUGCUUUCGGGCGGGCGAGUAUAGUGGCGCACGGGUGAGUAACGCGUAGGUAACCUAUCCUUGGUUUCGGGAUAACAGUUCGAAAGGGCUGCUAAUACCGGAUGAGACCCUUUUGCGAGAGUUUGAGGGUGAAAGUCAGCCACUCGAAGAAGCUGAUGACCGAGGCUGGGCCUGCGUCCUAUCAGCUAGUUGGUAGGGUAACGGCCUACCAAGGCGACGACGGGUAGCUGGUCUGAGAGGAUGAUCAGCCACACUGGCACUGGAACACGGGCCAGACUCCUACGGGAGGCAGCAGUGAGGAAUUUUGCGCAAUGGGAGCAAUCCUGACGCAGCAACGCCGCGUGGGUGAAGAAGGCCUUCGGGUCGUAAAGCCCUGUCAGGUGGGAAGAAUGGAUAAGGGAUGAAUAAGCCUUUAUUGUGACGGUACCACCAGAGGAAGCACCCGGCUAACUUCCGUGCCAGCAGCCGCGGUAAUACGGAGGGUGCGAGCGUUAUUCGGAAUUACUGGGCGUAAAGCGCGUGUAGGCGGGAAGAUAAGUCUGAUGUGAAAGCCCCGGGCUUAACCUGGGAAGUGCAUUGGAAACUGUUUUUCUUGAGUACUGGAGAGGAAGGGAGAAUUCCCGGUGUAGAGGUGAAAUUCGUAGAGAUCGGGAGGAACAUCAGUGGCGAAGGCGCCCUUCUGGACAGUUACUGACGCUGAGACGCGAAAGCGUGGGGAGCAAACAGGAUUAGAUACCCUGAUAGUCCACGCUGUAAACGAUGAUCACUAGGUGUAGCGGGUACUCAUUCCUGCUGUGCCGUAGCUAACGCGUUAAGUGAUCCGCCUGGGGACUACGGUCGCAAGACUAAAACUCAAAGGAAUUGACGGGGGCCCGCACAAGCGGUGGAGUAUGUGGUUUAAUUCGACGCAACGCGAAGAACCUUACCUGGGCUUGACAUCCCCGGACCGUCAUGGAAACAUGGCUUUCCCUUUCGGGGGACCGGGAGACAGGUGCUGCAUGGCUGUCGUCAGCUCGUGUCGU
rnacentral:rRNA from 1 species